AUUGAACGCUGGCGGCAUGCCUUACACAUGCAAGUCGAACGGUAACAGGUUAAGCUGACGAGUGGCGAACGGGUGAGUAAUGUAUCGGAACGUGCCCAGUCGCGGGGGAUAACUGCUCGAAAGAGCAGCUAAUACCGCAUACGACCUGAGGGUGAAAGCGGGGGAUCGCAAGCCCUCGCGCGAUUGGAGCGGCCGAUAUCAGAUUAGGUAGUUGGUGAGGUAAAGGCUCACCAAGCCGACGAUCUGUAGCUGGUCUGAGAGGACGACCAGCCACACUGGGACUGAGACACGGCCCAGACUCCUACGGGAGGCAGCAGUGGGGAAUUUUGGACAAUGGGCGCAAGCCUGAUCCAGCCAUGCCGCGUGCGGGAAGAAGGCCUUCGGGUUGUAAACCGCUUUUGUCAGGGAAGAAAAGGUUCUGGCUAAUACCUGGGACUCAUGACGGUACCUGAAGAAUAAGCACCGGCUAACUACGUG
rnacentral:rRNA from 1 species